rnacentral:rRNA from 1 species
UACGUAGGGCGCAAGCGUUGUCCGGAAUUAUUGGGCGUAAAGAGCUCGUAGGCGGCUUGUCACGUCGGGUGUGAAAGCCCGGGGCUUAACCCCGGGUCUGCAUUCGAUACGGGCUAGCUAGAGUGUGGUAGGGGAGAUCGGAAUUCCUGGUGUAGCGGUGAAAUGCGCAGAUAUCAGGAGGAACACCGAUGGCGAAGGCAGCUCGCUGGGACGGUACUGACGCUGAGGCGCGAAAGCGUGGGGAGCGAACAGG